UUGACCACGCUGAUUUUUUUAUAUACACGCGAAUGACGCCACAAGUAUAUGGGCUUUUGCUUACUCUUGUUGAGCCCUUUUUAAAAAAAGAAUUCGUUGAGGGAGCCUGUGCAACCGGAAUGUCGAUUAGCUUUGACAUUACAAUAUUUGUCACAAGGAACUUCGUUUCAAUCGUUGGCAUGGUCAUUUCAACUGGGGAAGGAAACGGUUAGGCGCAUUAUUCUGGAGACAGCUGAAGUCCUUUGGACAAAGUUAGGCGCUGUUUAUGUAUCUGAGCCUAAUGAAGAAGAUUUCAAGCAAAUUUCU